rnacentral:tRNA from 1 species
GUCCCUGUCGUCUAAGGGUCAGGAUUCGAGAUUUUCAAUCUCGCGAUCGGGGUUCGAAUCCCCGUGGGGACG